GGUAAACAACCCAUGGCUCAGUGGUAGAGCAUUUGAUUGGCAUGGAGAAGAUCCCAGGUUCCAUCCAUGGCAUCUUCA
rnacentral:tRNA from 1 species